GCCCGUCUAUCGCCAGGAGUGGCCUGGCAACACAAUGUGUCCCCUCGCGCUGCAGGCUUGCGCGCCGGUUCGACUCCGGGGACGGGCACCA
rnacentral:tRNA from 1 species